AAAUCGCGAAUUAGUCUUGAUUGAUUAAAAUCUUAGAUCUUAGUUUAUUCAACUGUCAAAUUAUAGAUUGUUCUUAAUUGAUCGGCUAACCAUUUGGAUUGUCAAUUCGUACAUAAUCAUAGUUUAUUAAUUAGUUUGUUCAAAUCGUGGGCCGCUCUUGAUUGAUAGAAUUUUAAAUUGUAGUUUGAAUUGUUAAAUCAUAGAUUAUUUUUAAUAUAUUGUUCAAAUCGCGGGUUGCUCUUGAUUGGUAGAAUUCUGAAUCAUAGUUUGAAUUGUUAAAUUUAUAGACUAUUUUUAUUACAUUAUUCAAAUCACGAGUUGUUCUUGAUUGGUAGAAUUUUCGAAUCGUAGUUAAAUUAUAGAUUAUUUUAUUAUUUUAUUCAAAUCGCGGGUUACUCUUGAUUGGUAGAAUUUCAGAUUGUAGUUUUCGUUACGGCACGUGCGGAGCGCGGGACGUGACAACCCCCCUCUUGGGGUUCAAAUUUCCGAAGGAAAUUUGACUGAUCGUGUCCCUGUUUUGAUUGUAAAAACUUGUCGCCACCAAAAAUUUUUCAUACCCCAUUAAUUCAUCAAUUGUGAAUUUAAUUUAUUUUCAUUUCGCGUUGUUAAUCAAUAUUAAAUUUUAAUAUCCCUAUUAUUAUGUAAUAAUGCUGUAUUAUUUUGCGUUAGUUAUUAUUCAUUUUCUUGUUACAAUCUUCCAUUAGUUUUAUUGUUAUUCUAUUAAAUACUCAUUGCUUCAUUAAAAAUAUAAUUUAUUUUGCAAUGCGUAAAAGUUACUACACGCACAUGUUGAUUCAAAAUGGCCGUUUGCAAAUGUCUCUAUAAAUGAAGCGUAAUCGAAUUGAGAUUAACAUUAUUUUGUGUUAAUUAUAGUCUAUAUAAUUAUUAUAUGUACUACUUGAUGCUCAUGACAUUCCAAAAUGGCCGUUUACGAAUGUCUCUAGUAUGUAUGACUUUCAUUAAUAUUAAACUUAUCAUUUGUUCGUUAAUUAUUUGUAAUUUAUUUUUGUAGAUAGAGUGUAAUCGAACUGAAAUUGGUAUUAUUUUGCAUUAAUUAUGGCGUGUAUAACUACUGUGUGUAUUUUCUUGCGCAUGCGUAAAAGCUAUGUUAUGUUUAUGACAAUCCAAAAUAGCUGCUUGUGAGUGUGUUUCUACUAAGAAUAUGGUAAUGUGUUCUUGAAUUUUAUUUAAUACUUAUUAUUAUUUCCUUUUCUCUCUCUAUUUUGGUGUGAUUGGAGUUUGGAACAACAAUAAUAUUGGUUUUGUGUUCGUUAUAAUGUGUAUGUUUACAGUGUGUUACUACAAUGUCAAUAUCAAGUGCAGUGUAUUUUAUUUAAUACUAGGAUAAUUAUUUAUCUGUUGUUUGUUCUUAAUUCUAUCUUAGUGCGGUUUAAAGUUCUAAUAGCAAUAAUAUUGUUUUGUAUUUGUUGCGAUGUGUAUACAUACUCUUUAUGUUAAUUUAAUAUAAUAGCAUUGUUGUUGAAACGUAUAAUUUACUAUUCAUGCUAUUUCAGUGCUUCAUAUCGAGUGGUUAUAUUUAUAGAAUGUUUGCUUAGUUAAUUUAAUUUAACAUACGCAUAGUGUAUUGCCGUUCGUUACUACUGCAUAACAUAACCUUAUUCCUUUACACCAGACUUAAUACAAUAGCGUAAUACGAUAUAACAAUCUUUUACUCUAAUCGUGUUUGUCGUCAAUGCUCGAUUAACAUACCUUGAUUAAUUUCUAGCUUAUUUCUACAUGUAACAUAACUUUAUACUUAAAUAAAUACGCCAACCAUUGGAUUACAAUUGGAUUAAAAAUAUUCUAUUGGUUAUUACAUCUAGUAUUUAACAUAGAUAGCAUAAAUGCUGAUCUUGUAACUCCUCUUG